UAUCACCUCCAGUUUCUGCAAAUCUCUCUCUCUCUCUCUCACUGUAUUCAGAAUAUAUGACCCUUUUCCUCCCUCCUUUCUACGGGGUCAUCGAAUCUCCUUUCAUCUCCCCCAUAAAGAAAAUCAAAGAAAACUACCAAAUCAUCAAGUGCACGACGAGAUGAGAGAGAAAUCUUCAAGCUAUUGAUCAUCAACGUCAGAAACGAGAGAGAGAGAGAGGAGAGAUGUGACUGCCCAACGCCCAGCACCCAGGCCGCCUACCCCACCUAGUCGCCGCCUACCCCGCCUAGCCACCGCCUAGUCCGCCUAGGCGGCCGCCUGGAGACCCAACGCCUAUUGACUUCGCCCAGGCCGAAAUCGGAACGGUACACUGGCGCCUAGCGCCUAGGCGGCCGCCUAGGCCGAUUUUUAGAAUACAGGGUGUUGAUAGUGAUUUAGCAGAAGUAGAAGGCAGAGGUAAAAAGAAAAAAUAGAAUGAGUUUGAUUCUGGGCUGGGUUUCGGGUAACUGGAGAGAUAGAGAAGAAGAGCUGUGGAGAUUGGAGCGGAGAAGAAGAGAGUGAGGGCUCUGAUCACUUCGUCGGAGGUCUGGGCUGAAUUCUAGGUGAAGAAUCAAGCCCAGAAGAAUAGGGAUUCAUGAAUCCAAUGAAUUGGAAAUUUUGGGUUCGUGUAAUUGUACCCAAGUGCUAUAGUUCUCGUUGUUUCUGUUGUUAAUCGGCCUUCGAUGGAAUCAUGGAAAUCGAAGACCUGAAUUAUAGAGGAAAGUCUAUAAGGGAUGAGGGUAAUGGGUCUUCUUGUUGUUGUUGUUGUUUAACGGGAUGGUGAUGAGAGGGUUGUAUAUAUUUUUCAACCCACAAUGAGAGAGAGAUAUGAAGCAACCCAGAUAAGAAAACUAGCAGCUUCUAAUUCAAAGGUAUAGUGGAACAUGAAGUCUUGGAAAUCAUUCAUCAAGUUUUGUUUCAAUCUUCAAAGAAAGCAAGGAACCAAGAUAGUCGUUUUGAGAGUUCAGUGAGAGGAGGAGAGAGAUGUGGAAGAAGAAGAGAUAAAAAUAAAAAAUAAAAAAUUAAUUAAAUGAAAAAAAAGUGAGGGUAAGAAAGCUGCCUGCCCAGAAGAAGAGAAAAGAGACAGCUGGGUGCUAAAAAAGUUGAAGAGACCAUUUUAUCCCUUGAAAUAUGACAGUUGGCACGAAACUAACGGCGUCAUUGACGUCGUGUAUGUUUACUGGGUCGGUUUUGAAACCUCAUGUACCAAAGUUUAUGUUUUAGAAAUUGAUGUACUGAAAUUCGUAGGGGCCCUUACUUCGGAUACUAUUCAUGAAUUUUUCCCUUUAUUUUUUGUGUUGAUGAAGAAAUAAUCUUUCUUAUUUUGUCCAGAUACUCAAUUAAAUAGUAUAUCCUGGCAAAUAAAUUCAUUCCAAUUAUUUCAUUA